ensembl:lncRNA
GUAACACGGUGUUACCCUGGAUACAUAACACGGUGUUACCCUGGAUACGUAAUACGGUUUUCUUCUCUAUGCCUUCAGAAAGUAUUCACACCCCUUCACUUUUUCCACACUUUGUUAUGUUACAGCCUGAAUUGAAAAUCAAAUUGAGAUUGUUUUGUCACAAGACCCCGUAGUGUCAAAGUGGAAUUAUGUUUUUUGAAUAUAAAAAAACUGGGAUAAAAAAAAACGAUUAAAAAAGAAAAGCUGAAACAUCAAUAAGUUUUCAACCGUUUUGUAAUGUGCUCAAAAAAGGAACAUAAUAAGUUGUAUGGACUCACUCUGUGUGCAGUAAUAGUAUUUAACAUGAUUUCUUUCAAUCACUACCUCAUCUUUGUACCCAACACAUAUAAUUAUCUGUAAGGUCCCUCAGUCGAGCAGUGAAUUUCAAACACAGAUUCAACCAUAGAGGUUUCCUAAAGCGUCGCGAAGACGGGCACCUAUUGGUAGAAAUAUAAUAUUCCUUAGAGCAUGGUGAAGAUAUUCAUUACACUUUGGAUGGUGUAUCAAUACACCCCAGUCACUACAAAGAUACAGGCGUCCUUCCUAACUCAGCUGCUGGAGAGGAAGGAAACCACUCAGGGAUUUCACCAUGAGGCCAAUGGUGACUUUAAAACAGUUAUAGAGUUGAAUGGCUGUGAUAGGAGACAACUGAGGAUGGAUCAACAACAUUGUAGUUACUCCACAAUACUAACCUAAUUGACAGAGUGAAAAGAAGGAAGUCUGUACAGAAUAAAAAAUUCCAAAACAUGCAUCCUGUUUGCAACAAGGCACUAAAGUAAUACUGCAAAAUAUGUGGCAAAGCAAAUCACUUUUUGUCCUUAAUACAAAAUGUUAUAUUUGGGGCAAGUCCAAUAGAUCACAUUACUGAGUAACACUCUUCAUAUUUUCAAGCAUAGUGGUGGCUGCACCAUGUUAUGGAUAUGCUUGUAGUCGAGAGAGUUUUUCACGAUAAAAAAUAAAUGGGUUGGCGCUAAGCACAGACAAAUUCCUAGAGAAAAACCUGGUUCAGUCUGCUUUUCAACAGAUACUGGGAAAUUCCUUCACCUUUCAGCAGGAAAAUAACCUAAAACAUAAGGCCAAAUCUACAAUGGAGUUGCAUACCAAGAAGACAGUGAAUGUUCCCGAGUUGCAGAGUUACAGUUUUGACUUAAAUCUGCUUGAAAAACACCUGCAAAUGGUUGUUUAGCAUCAUCAACAACCAAUUUGACAGAGCGUGAAGAAUUUUGAAAGAAUAAUGGGCAAAUGUUACACAAUCCUGGUGUGUAAAGCUCUUAGAGACUUACCUAUAAAGACUCACAGCUGUAAUCGCUGCUAAAGGUGAUUCAAACAUGUAUUGACUUGGUGGGUUGAAUACUUAUCUAAUCAAGAUAUAUUUGUGUUUUAUUUUUUUAUGAUUUUUUGGGGUACAAAUGUUAGAAUUCUUCUUCCAGAGUAUUUUGUGUAGAUAAUUGUAUUGUUUUUAAUUAAAUCAAUUUUAGUCCCUCUUUGUAACAAAAUGACACAUGGACAAAGUCAAGGGGUGUGAAUACUUUUUGGAUGCACUGUAUAUAAUGUAUAUAUAACAUUAAUAACUCUGUAUGUAUAACAUGGUGUUACUCUGUAUAUAUAAUGUGUUGUUACUCUGUAUACAUAGACGUGCUAUAUAAAAGUAUGUAAAAGUGUUGUUCCAAUCAUCUAUCUAAGACAGUCGUAAAACUUCUAUAUGUGUUUAGUAAUCAUGUUAUUGGUGUAUAUUUAUCACAUGAGUCUGUACAUGCUAACUCUACGUGUACAGGGAGAAUCUUUACAAGGGUUACAAAAUUCCGGAAGCUUUACCAAAAUUCCCAGGUUUUUCGAGAAUCCUGGUUGGGUAUUCCGGAAAGCUUAUUACCAGGUUUUUUCUGAAUACAAGGGAUUUCAGGGAAAGUUGAUGGAAAUUUAGUCCUUAGUUUCACAUGUCCUUAGUUGUCUUUAGUCCUUAGUUGUCUUUAGUCCUUAGUUGUCUUUAGUCUUUAUUGUCUUUAGUCCUUAGUUGUCUUUAGUCCUUAGUUGUCUUUAGUCUUUAGUUUCACAUGUCCUUAGUUGUCUUUAGUCCUUAGUUGUCUUUAGUCCUUAGUUGUCUUUAGUCCUUAGUUGUCUUUAGUCCUUAGUUUCACAUGUCCUUAGUUGUCUUUAGUCCUUAGUUGUCUUUAGUCCUUAGUUGUCUUUAGUCCUUAGUUGUCUUUAGUCCUUAGUUGUCUUUAGUCCUUAGUUUCACAUGUCCUUAGUUGUCUUUAGUCCUUAGUUGUCUUUAGUCCUUAGUU